GCUCCUCUUUGCAAUACCUGUGAUUUCAAUUUUUGCUGUGAAAAAAUAUAAAUUCAACAGCCCUUUUCAGUUGAACAACUACCAAAUGACCCCUAAAUCUUUGCUUGUUCUCUCGAAAUUCUCAACCCCAAAGUGAGAAUCAAUAGUAGUAGUAAUGAUAAUAAUAAUAAUUGUUGCAAAAAUUCUGAGGCUAUGAUGAUGAUUUUCUUCUUUCCCUGAGCAAAUCGAUAGCGCAUGAAAGAAAUCGGACCCAUAUCUUGGCGGGGGCAACCUGGAUUUCAGGUUACCUUGCAAUCGGUGCUUGCUGCCCUGGCGGUGAUUCCAGUCUCUCUUGCCAUGUUCUGCGAAAUUCGCAGGUCGAAGAACUCAUGAGAAUUUCUCCGUUCAAGGAAAAAAAGCUUAGCUUAGAGACGAAGAAUGAGGGUUGCAGAGAGUAGAGGGGAACAUUUCAAAGGGCUGUUUCUCCGCUCUGCAAUACCUGUGAUUACAAUUUUUGCUAUGAAAAAACAUGAAUUCAACAGCCCUUUUCAGUUAAACAACUACCAAACGACCCCUUAAUCUUUGCUUGUUCUCUCGAAACUCUCAACCCCAAAGUGAGACUCAAUAGUAGUCAUAAUAAUAAUAAUUGGCGAAAAUUCCGAGGCUAUGAUGAUGAUUUUCUUCUUCCUCUGAGCAAAUCGAUAGUGCAGGAAAGAGAUUGUACCUGUAUCUUGGCGUGGCAAUCCAGAUGACAGGUUACCCUGCAACCGGUGCUUGCAGGCAUGGCGAUGAUUCCAGUGUAUCUUGCCGGAUCGUCAGUAUUACAAAUCUGAGCCUCAAUGUUUGAUUUGCUUAGGGUCUAUUGAAAAUCGCUUCUUGACCUCCACAAGGUGGAGGUCAAAUUAUACUGGGUUGUUGUUGUUGCAGUUGGGAAAUUCGCAGGUCGAAACACAUAUGAGAAUUUCCCA